rnacentral:rRNA from 1 species
UACAGAGGUCCCAAGCGUUGUUCUGAUUCACUGGGCGUAAAGGGCGCGUAGGCGGGAUGGCAAGUCGGUCGUGAAAUCCCUCGGCUCAACCGAGGAACGUCGAUCGAUACUGCUGUUCUUGAGGAUUGCAGAGGAGACUGGAAUUCCCGGUGUAGCGGUGAAAUGUGUAGAGAUCGGGAGGAACACCGGUGGCGAAGGCGGGUCUCUGGGCAAUUCCUGACGCUGAGGCGCGAAAGCGUGGGGAGCAAACGGG